CACGUAGGGUGCAAGCGUUGUCCGGAUUCAUUGGGCGUAAAGGGCUAGUAGGCGGCUUAGCAAGUCGGGUGUGAAAUCCCACGGCUCAACCGUGGAAGUGCAUUCGAAACUGCAGGGCUAGAGUCCUGGAGAGGAAGGUGGAAUGCUUGGUGUAGAGGUGAAAUUCGUAGAUAUCAAGCGGAACACCGGUGGCGAAGGCGGCCUUCUGGACAGUGACUGACGCUGAGACGCGAAAGCGUGGGGAGCAAACAGG
rnacentral:rRNA from 1 species